rnacentral:rRNA from 1 species
CCUACGGGCGGCAGCAGUGGGGAAUAUUGGACAAUGGGGGCAACCCUGAUCCAGCCAUGCCGCGUGUGUGAAGAAGGCCCUCGGGUUGUAAAGCACUUUCAGUGAGGAAGAACGCCUGGUGGUUAAUACCCAUCAGGAAAGACAUCACUCACAGAAGAAGCACCGGCUAACUCCGUGCCAGCAGCCGCGGUAAUGCGGAGGGUGCGAGCGUUAAUCGGAAUUACUGGGCGUAAAGCGCGCGUAGGUGGCUUGAUAAGCCGGUUGUGAAAGCCCCGGGCUCAACCUGGGAACGGCAUCCGGAACUGUCAAGCUAGAGUGCAGGAGAGGAAGGUAGAAUUCCCGGUGUAGCGGUGAAAUGCGUAGAGAUCGGGAGGAAUACCAGUGGCGAAGGCGGCCUUCUGGACUGACACUGACACUGAGGUGCGAAAGCGUGGGUAGCAAACAGGAUUAGAUACCCUGGUAGUC